UACGUAGGGGGCAAGCGUUGUCCGGAAUCAUUGGGCGUAAAGCGCGUGUAGGCGGCCCGAUAAGUCCGCUGUGAAAGUCCAGGGCUCAACCCUGGAAUGCCGGUGGAUACUGUCGGGCUCGAGUCCGGAAGAGGCGAGUGGAAUUCCUGGUGUAGCGGUGAAAUGCGCAGAUAUCAGGAGGAACACCAAUGGCGAAGGCGGAUCUCUGGGCCUUACCUGACGCUGGAGGCGCGAAAGCUAGGGGAGCGAACAGG
rnacentral:rRNA from 1 species